rnacentral:rRNA from 1 species
AGAGUUUGAUCAUGGCUCAGGAUGAACGCUAGCGGCAGGCUUAACACAUGCAAGUCGAGGGGUAUAGGUUUUCGGACCUAGAGACCGGCGCACGGGUGCGUAACGCGUAUGCAAUCUACCUUUUACAGAGGGAUAGCCCAGAGAAAUUUGGAUUAAUACCUCAUAGUAUAGCAACUUCGCAUGAAGUCACUAUUAAAGUCACAACGGUAAAAGAUGAGCAUGCGUCCCAUUAGCUAGUUGGUAAGGUAACGGCUUACCAAGGCAACGAUGGGUAGGGGUCCUGAGAGGGAGAUCCCCCACACUGGUACUGAGACACGGACCAGACUCCUACGGGAGGCAGCAGUGAGGAAUAUUGGUCAAUGGGCGCAAGCCUGAACCAGCCAUGCCGCGUGCAGGAUGAAGCAUCUAUGGUGUGUAAACUGCUUUUGUACGAGAAGAAACACUCCUUCGUGAAGGAGCUUGACGGUAUCGUAAGAAUAAGGACCGGCUAACUCCGUGCCAGCAGCCGCGGUAAUACGGAGGGUCCAAGCGUUAUCCGGAAUCAUUGGGUUUAAAGGGUCCGUAGGCGGUUUUGUAAGUCAGUGGUGAAAGCCCAUCGCUCAACGGUGGAACGGCCAUUGAUACUGCAAGACUUGAAUUAUUAGGAAGUAACUAGAAUAUGUAGUGUAGCGGUGAAAUGCUUAGAUAUUACAUGGAAUACCAAUUGCGAAGGCAGGUUACUACUAAUGGAUUGACGCUGAUGGACGAAAGCGUGGGGAGCGAACAGGAUUAGAUACCCUAGUAGUCC